CAUUUGACUUCCUCCACACCUACAUUGUCAUCUCCACCCCACCGGGCUGCAUACAUAUCAUCAACACAGGAAGCUUCGGCACAGGCAGGUGAAGAAGAAACCAUUUAUUAUCGGCUAGUACCAUGGCAGGCUGGAUUCACUGAGGAACCAGUCCCAGCGGAGCAGAACGGUCCCCCGAGGCGUCGGAGGGGCCAAAACUGAACCGACCAAACUUGGCUUCCGACCCCAGAGCAGCGACACGCCCACUUGGCGGCGGCCUGCAGUGCAUUCCUGGAAAUGAGUUGACUUCCAGAGACUUGCUGUCUGUAACUGUUACUGAGGUGGAAAGCCAGAAGAAACAAAUCCAGGUUACACAUCAUACUGGACACAAGCAGCUUAUGUGGCUCUGUUGGCACUCUCGUGUUCCUGUUGGCUGACCUUUUCUGUUCCUGUGAAGUUCCUGUCAUGCACUGUCUGUUCUCGAAGGUCACAGAUCUCUUUGCCGAAACCAGCUGCACCAUUUAUUAUUUCAGACAGAGAGAUCUUUGAAAAUGGAUGAAUUUGAAAAAGCUGGCCCUGCAUUAUAGUGUGGACGAGGAAAACAGAGCUUUUGGGAAACAAUGAGCUGCCCUGUCACAACAUCUGCAAACCUCGGUUGGGAGCCAAUAAGCCACCCGCUGAAAAACACCAAGCAGAGGUUAAAGUCCGCCGAGACCCGGCAGCUUGUUUUCAACUGUCAGAGAGGCAGGAUUCUUUAAUGACAUGUUGCAUCCCAUCCUAACUGUAACAUCCUCCCUACAGGGUAAAUAAAAGCUCAAAGUUA